GACUUUGAACUUUAACUGUUCAGGACCUGCAGACAUUUAGAGGAUUAUGUAUAAAAAAGUCUGUAAUUCCUAAACAUUUAAAGCUGAAAUUCUGCACUGCACAUCUUAAUUAAUCAAACCAAAUUACUUAUGGACCUGUGUACAUGUGCACACACAGUCUGAUGGAUGAGUGAAGUUGAACUCAUACCAAAGCGGCACUACCUCGUGCUGAGCAUGAUCCAGGAUAAGUUAUUUGUCUCCAUAAAUUUGUGUCUGUUCUGGAAAAACAGAAUCUACAGAAGAACGUGUAGAAUUCAUGGCAUUGCAGUGCAGUUCUCAUCUAUGAACACAGAGGGGCAGUGAUGUCAUUUUUUUUCAUCAGUGGCUGAUCUGUUCAGAGCAAGAGCCCCCAAAAAUGAGAUUUGCUGCUAAGAUUUCUUCCCUAAUACACAAAUAAAGGUCAAAGCAGAGAAACGGGAAUAAAGGGAAAAGGACAAAUACUCAGGCUGCACAGGCGGCUGCUGAACACAUCAGCUGGGAGCUCUGUGGGAAAACAAUGGGAGUACGUUAAGCGCAAGUUUGUGCUUUCCUUUUUCUUUUCCUCAAGAAUCCCACCAGGUUAUCAUGUGUUGAGUGUAGGAAAGCAUGGUUUUCUUAAAUUCCUGAUUGCUCUAAAUCUAAAAACCCAUAUUCACUAAUAAUUUCUACAUCUGUGCAGGGAGUAUGAACGUGGCAGAGCCCAGUGUCUGUCAGGAGUUUGAUGGCAGAUGUGCUUCCAGUUCCUGUGAAUUGCAAACAGGAGGCUCCUCUAAGCCUGAAGCGUCCUCGCUUCAGGCUGUUGGAGGUGUGUGUUUGUCAGCUAAACGCAGUUUUCUGCUGAGAAACACGCAGACAGGCCUUCCUGUGAUGCCUGAAUAAAUGAGGACGAAAGCUGAUUAAUCCUCUGAAGCUCUUUUGUCUCUCGAUCUGAUAGUUUGACCUUGUUGAGGUCAGAACGGCCCGACGUCUUCAAGCUCGUCACAUCUCUGAAUGCACAACGCGUUGAUCCUUGAAGCUGACAGACUACAGCAGCACACCAGGUGUCACUGUUAGCUAACAGGAAACUGAGGCUACAACUCACACAGACUCAUUUGUGAUUAAGUAGGACUCAGGAUGCUAGAGGGCGGUUUAAGAGCCUUUUUGAGUUUUCAGGUGGAGUUGUGGGCUCCUCAGUUCUGCCUCUGGGUGGAGCCCUCCUGCUCAGGUUGCCCUUCUCAUACCUGCUCUGAAAACCCUCAUGAACCCUUUCACCACAAUGGUUUUGUGUCCCAUCCCUCCCUAACCUGCUCUGUGCCGCUUCUGCUGACGUAAUGUGUUCAAAACCAGCCAAUGACCUUUGGACUUGUGUACCUGUAAGGAGAAGGACUUUACCUGUCUGCUCACUCACUUUUCCUGAAACUCGCCACCUAAGCCUUAGUCGCUUACACCUCCAAGUAAGGGUGUUAGACUUGAUCUGAGGCUUUUACUGCAAAACUCAUGCCCACUUUCGUCUCAAAGUCUGAAUGUUAAGAGUUGAAUGCCUUUCAAUAAAUCUUUAACCCUGUAAAGCCUGAAUCAUGAAAGACUUGAUAGAAAAGUCAGCUUUUUUAACUUAUUUAACCUUCUGACAACAUCCGAAAAAGAAAUUAAAUAUCAAUUUGUAUACCAGUUUAAUUUUUUUUUAAUCACUUUUUCUACAUUGUGGCAUUUUUUGGUGCAACUGAUUGCUGACAGUAGGAUCUACGAAUGGCAGAAGCCCACGUUAUAAACGUCAGUAAUGAGGAAUAAUAAAUCAGACUACAAAACAACAAACUAAAAUAAAGAACAUUUAAUACCAAUAGAAUUUACUUCGUUUCAAGGUAAAACUGUCGCAGUCUAGCCAUUUUGCACACGUGCGCACAAACACGAAUGCUACUAGCCUAGCAUACUGUAGCUGUUUGCUUAGCGGCUAGUGGACUCUCCGUCCCGCUAACAAAGUCAGAUGUUUGAAUUUUCUAACUUACCAAUGAGCAGGGUGACAUUCUGAAAAACACCCAAUGCCGCAGAGUCGCUUCCAACCACAACAACUGUGCUUCAUCUUGUUGAAUCUGAGCCAUAAAGAAUUAAAUCAGCUCUGAAGGAAAAGGGGGUCAAACCUGGUACUAGCAAGAUGUACAAACCACAAAAUCUGAAAUCUAGUACACAACAUUCACCAUGGUAGUAAAAAACUGUAUUUUCCAGAACUUGUGAGAAAAGUAACAAACAGGUUGGUCUGGUUGCCAUAAUUAGUGUAUCACAGUGGAAUGAAUGUUGAACAAAAUGUGUAUGGGUGAUGUCCUCAACUUGGAAGAUCUCAAAGGCACUCCAAGAGGCAUUUAACCAAUUUUUCAUGAAGGACCAGAGGGUGUUAACAGAAGGUCCAAACAACAUCUUCUAGGUAUGCGAAACACUAAAACACUUUUAAAGUCAAAGACUGUAUGUUGAUUGCUCGUGUGAUGGCACACUAUGACAAAAUGAAACACAACAACUUUCCUUAUGUAUAAAUCUUUUAUUGGAUAUUUGGACUUCCUAGAUCUGGAUUUUUCUGCCCACUUCUCCACUUCCUAAGAAGAGUCACCGAUUUGGGCUUCAGUCCAGUCCAGACCAGUUGUAGUUACUGGUAGUGCUGUUACUGUCCAUUUCAAUGGUUUUACACUUGGUCCAGUUCUUCCAAACCAACUGUAUCCAACAACAAUGGUACAAGGACAAACAAUGGCAGCGCUGAUGUACAAAGAAAAGGCUGUUGGUAAAAGCAUCAGUACCAGUGGGUGGUUUUCUUUAACAUCUAGAAACUCUCAAAACUGUUCACGUGUUCCUCGUAAAACAUAAAUUUUUCAAAUACAAUUUAGUUGUACAUCAUUUAAAACACAAAACACUAAACCUCAAAUAACAGACGAAUAAAUCGACUUCAUAUCCAUGUGCAUUCCAACAUUUUCUGCACCUUUACCCUGAAAACCACUUCAUUAAACCAUAAACAUCACACAUGCACAUCAAACUUCUGCACAGACCACAAGAACUGCAUGGCCCGAAGAACUGCAGUUUACUGCGGGUGACAUUUAACUCAGGUUGAAUGAAUAUAUGUUAACAUAUGUAGUCUUCAUAUAUGGAGCUAAAUGUUGGGUGAACCAACCUUUGCCCCUGCACAUUUGUGGCAGAGGAAAGUUAAAACAGGUGUUGAUAAAGAAAAAUUCAACAGUAUAUUUUUCUCUUCUGCUUUUCCUUUUAAAAAUUGCCAGAUCUUUAGGAGUUGAAGAGCAAUAUAGUUCCCAUAGUAUGAUGAUUUGUGGCUCAGUCACACUGGAGGACAGAAAAUUGAACUGCAACCUUGGAACUAGGAAAAAAAGUGGUGGUUGGGUGAUGAUUGAAUUUAUUUUAUUUAUUUUUUUGCUGUCAGAGACGCUCCUCCAAGCAGCCAUUUCAAAAGCAACGAGAUUGCAAGUUCAUUGCACACAGUUUAAAUAAUUUUGGUGGCACUGCGGUCUCUGACCACUCUAGAGUGACCGUAGCAUUAAAUUUGUGCUGUGUGCAAACUUUAAAAACUCCUAUUUAUUAGAGCUUUUGUUCCCCCCACCCCCCACUGUGAUCUUCCGGUUAGUAAACCCGCUAUAAACAUGAACAUGCUUCUAGACACCUUUUAUUUUUGGCUUUUACCUCCAAAGUUUACUUUCUCUUCCAGUCUUUAAGGCACUCACUGGUGGCAAAAAGAAGGCAGAAACAAGCAAGAGUUGGUGAAAGAUAGGAGACAGUGAAUCCCGAUUAUAAUGAGGUCUUCUCAUAUAAAUGAAAAUUGAGCACAGGGUUAGUUCAGAAAAGCUACAAAGCCAAGCCAACUCUGCUGCACAUCCAGUUGACUCGUCUUCUAUACGCCAGUUUUUUAAGCUGCUGUAGUUGGAUAAAAGUUGCUGCUGCUGCCUCUGAAAGCCACUUUGCAACCCACCUCCAUUUCAACACUCCUCUUUGUGAUGUGCCAGAAUUAAUAUCUGUUGUCACUGAUGACUACUGUGUUAUGUGACGGGGGCAUGGAGGUCCCAGAAUGGGCAGGAGGCAGAAAUUACUUUCUUUCACUGUGGUGACUGAAAUGUAUUUGUAAAAUCAGACUGAGCUCUGACCUCAGUAACACAAUGGGAAACAGAGCUCAAACAUUUCUAGCUAAAGUGGCAGCCUGCUUUUAAAAGCCGGUCAAGUUUUGGUUCGUGUGGUCCGAUUCUUAACAUCUGAACCGAAAAGAAACCUUUAAAAGAUUAGAAGUUCCCCAUUUUACACAAAACUGCAAUAACAGUCCAAGAAAAUUCCACACACAGCACUUUCUUGAGCGUUUUUGGCACCAAAGUGGUUCAAAGAAAUCAGAGUGAAAACAAGCUAAGAUGUAUUUCUAUCUGGAGGUCAUCUGGUGCCAGAUUCUUAUCAGAGCUUUGCAGUGUUUCCAUCAAGUACCAGAGACACUGCACUGGUUGUAUUGCUCCACAGAUUAAAGUUGCAGUUUGUGAGGCUUGAAACACAAGAAACAAACAUCUCCUGAAAGACGACCACACAACUUACAAACUGCACAUUAAAUCUUUGAUAAUAAGUCGAGCUUUCAUCUCAAGAUCAUCGUCUGGGUUCAGGAAGAAAAGAAGAAUGCAGAUGGAUCAUGAUUUUGUGUUGGCAAUGAAUAAUGCGCAGCAAAAGAAAAGAUAAAUGAGUUCAUUUAAACUUCUGUGGUGUAACAGCACUUUUUUGAUGUACGCAUCGCUUACUAACAGUGAAUGGGAAUAUGUAGCUUUUGUUCCUCUUAUUUCACAGCUGACACGUUUCCUCACUGCGCUGCAAACUAUUUUUGAAAAUACUGAAUCUUUUAGGGAGUUGUUAGCAUGUAUAUUCCUGCAAUACUGGGAUUGUACAACUUUGCAGAAUCAAAGUAGAACUGAACAUCUAGGCCAGAGAAUAUGGAAGAUUUAAAAUGCUUAAAUAAGAAACAGUCCAAAGUGUUUUGUUUUUGCUUUGAACAUAAAUGACUGAAGGUGCUUUGGGCUGCUCCAUCACUUCCCAAGCGCUCACCACAGUGGAUGGAUCCAUGUUUGAGCUGGCACAGAUUUUAAUAUCUGAUCACAUUUUUAUUUUAGCAUUAAAUUAAAUGUUUUUGUUAUUGCUAAUUAUUUUUGAAGACUUUAGAUGCAAAAGCCUCUAAACACCAGAAUGCUAUGAAGCUACUAUUGUGUAGUUGUCCUUUCAAACCCACACUGAACACAGUGUGUUGGUAAAAAUCUUCACCCCACUUUGGCAGAAAAAGCCAACAUGUCCACAGCACCACCAAUGAGAAGAUGCAAAUCAGGUCAUGUGACUUUCCAACAGGACAUUUCUUAGUUUGUUCAGGCCAACUUCACGCACCUUUACAUGCAUGUCUCAAAUUACUUGACAUGUGGGAUGUAGUAGUUUGCCCAACAGGUCUAUGUGUUUUGUGGACUUUGAGACGGCAUUCGACAGCACUCCUGGGAGUGUCCUGUAGGGUCAUGAGGGUUCAAUCCAUGUAAAACUGAAAAAGUUGUUAAUUUUGGUUAAUUUUUUAUACAUCAUUAUUUCUCAGGUUCUCAGUCCUCUUUUAUAUGUUAGUCCAACUCCCAUGGUAGUCUUCUUUCAGACUACCAUGUGACUGAAGACACAUUUUUAUGGACUGGCUUUUAGCACAUGUUGACAUUUUUUGUUUUACCAGCCUUAGUUGUUUUAGUUAUUUUUACUCUUACUGUGUGUGGUGGGGCAUGGUCUGCGGCGCAGCUGCGGGGGAGGCGGACGCACCUGAGCGGCAUCCGCAAUCACGCCUCGCCAGCUUAAAACAGAUUAACGGCCUGCUGUUGUUGCUGGAGUGUGUUCGACUGGCGAUUGAAAAGAUACAGCAACCAGCAAUAAAGUAUGCUGAAAGGUGUUGAGAUGUGGUCACGUCUGUCGUGCAUCAUUUGCAUUGUGUUAUUCUUUCUCUUUUAUAUGUUAUUCCAUCAUUGUUGUGCAUUUUACUUAUUUUAGUUGCAUUUUAGAUUGUAAAAUGUGCUAUAUAAAUAAACUUGACCUUGAUUUAGAUUGUUGCAUAUCACUUUCCUUAUCUUAAAUUACAUGUUAAUCAUUUUUUCCAGCUUCAUCUUUAAUGAUUAUUUUAACUGUUUCCUAUUUUUUGUCCCAAGACGUGAAAAAAACGGCACAGCUGAUCCAACUUUCAUAUUUACGAAUAAGCCAUUGCAUUGCACUGAUAAAACAUUUAAAGCAAAACAUAUCAGGCAGAGGUUUGUGGACCUGAAGUUUUCAAGUUUAGUUUAUAUGUUUAAGAGAUAACUGAUAGUGCUUACAUUUAUUAAAGAUGUAUGUUUUUUAAAAAGUGUUUCUUGGGUUUGUAUGCUUUUUAAAUCUUCCAUACAAUAAGGAGGAAGGUGACAGACUGUUCAGAAGCACUUAGAUUUUUAAAGUCCAUGUGCUGCCGGGUCUCAUUGAACUGACUCCAUGCGUAUUUCUUUACUCAUCCUUUAACUCUGAUAACAAUAUUGAUGCAUAAUCCAAAAAAUAGAAGCCAUAACAAGCAGAUUUAUUUCAUUUUAACACUUUACCACCUUAAAUUUGAAGCCUUUUUCGUGUGAUACCCUGUCUUCAGAAAACAUGAAAGUAAGCAGACCUUCUCUUGCAUGUGGACUUGAACAGAAAAAUGGAAAACAAAAGCAGCGUUAUUUUUGCGAGGGGUACGGCAAAAGAAGCGAAACUGUACAGACUAUAAAAGCGAAAAUCACGCACAAACAUAAACAUUUUGGAUGUUCACAUGAUUAGGCUGUUGUGA